rnacentral:rRNA from 1 species
UCCAGACUCCUACGGGAGGCAGCAGUGGGGAAUAUUGCACAAUGGGGGAAACCCUGAUGCAGCGAUGCCGCGUGAGUGAAGAAGUAUUUCGGUAUGUAAAGCUCUCUCAGCAGGGAAGAAAAUGACGGUACCUGACUAAGAAGCCCCGGCUAACUACGUGCCAGCAGCCGCGGUAAUACGUAGGGGGCAAGCGUUAUCCGGAUUUACUGGGUGUAAAGGGAGCGUAGACGGCAUGGCAAGUCAGAUGUGAAAGCCCGGGGCUCAACCCCGGGACUGCAUUUGAAACUGUCAGGCUGGAGUGCAGGAGAGGUAAGUGGAAUUCCUAGUGUAGCGGUGAAAUGCGUAGAUAUUAGGAGGAACACCAGUGGCGAAGGCGGCUUACUGGACUGUAACUGACGUUGAGGCGCGAAAGCGUGGGGAGCAAACAGGAUUAGAUACCCUCGUAUG